GCCCUGCUUAGGAAGAGCCGGGCUGAUGGAUCGUCACCGCCGAGAAACUCAUUUUGUGAGUCGGAAUUUAAGAGCCAGAACCAACUAGCCAGCCCCCCCAAUAGGUUUCUGUUUACACACCACAAAUCUCCGGUUGGAGCAGGUCCUCCCACCCCCAAAAAACAGGCCAAUCGGGGGAAAAGCAACUGUCCUAGUGCUGGAAUCUUCUGUAAUUUAAUCAGUGUUGCAGAUUAGGUUGUAUCGAAGACACCACUGUGAAAAGAAGAUUCUGGCCUUUGUGUCCCGACACUGAAAGCUGCCUCUUAAAAAAAACAAACACCCCCCCAAACCCCGAUUUCACACAGGUUAGGGUAGGAGGGAUUCUUUCAGUGAUUUCUUUCUGAAUAAACAUGUCUUACUCAGAUCUUAAAGUCUGUGGGAAUAUUGAGUGCAUGAGUUUGGUCUCUCUCUCUUUUUUUUUCUUCGAGACAGCGUUUCUUUGUGUCACAGCCCUGGCUGUCCUGGAACUCGCUCUGUAGACCAGGCUGGCCUCGAACUCACAGAUUUCCUCCUGGCGGGCAAUAAGGAAAUACAAAGAAAAAAAAAAACUUUAAGAAACACCAUGUGAUCACCAUGUGAUUAGGAGGGCUCAGGAGAGUCAGUGAGGGUCAGGGUCAGGGUAGUCUCAAAAACAAAUCAAGGUCGUGAGUUGGGGAAGGUCAGGUUCCAGGAAACAGAGCUACUCAACUCUCACAGUAAAUACAAACUUCUUUUUAAGACUACAUCAUACUGGCUCCUGCCUUCAAAAUGGAGUCCUCAAAAUGAAGUUCAUCUGAACAAUGAGCCACCAACUUCCGGAGCGUAAAGAGUGUCCCCUCUAGUAUUAUAAGUGUCCCUCUUCUUCCCUCUCCCACACCCCGUUGUUUUCUUCCGCCCUCCUUCCCCUUUCUAUGAUUUUUAGGUUUUGUUUGUGGUAGAACCUCCCUGCAGCCCAGGCUGGCCUUGAACUUGCUUUGUAGUCUGGCCCUCUGAGCCAUCUGCGCGCUGGGAUGACAAGGCAGGCACCCCAUUCCAGCGCACAAAAGAUGUGUUUUUCAGUCCUGGGGAUCAGAGCCAAGUCUUUGAGCACUAGGUGAGGGACAUGAUCUUAUCAAGACUAGCAUUACAAAAGCCUCUCCAGCCUGUGGUGAGCUCGGGGAAGUGACAGAUGAAGUCAGCCAUCAAUCACUGCCAGAUGCAUUCUCUCCACUGGUAAGGUGAGGAGGCUGAAGCUGGGACAGCAACUCCAGGGCUUAAUCCGGAUUACAAAAUCAGUCUUUGGGCUAAAAGCCAUUAGUGGAUACUCAGGCUUCUGAUAAAAGCCCAUUAGUCCUUCCACUAAGCCACUUGGCUUUAGAUAAUUACUGUAUAAAAACUACUGAAAAUGGAAAAGUAUCUGAAGUAAAGCCGAUAUAAUUUCAAUAUUUGAGAAACUUUAUUUUAUGUUAAAUGUAUGAUGUACAGAGUAAAGACUAAUCCAUAAAUGUAAAGGUGAAUAUAAAUGUAACAUUUGUAACUCUUUUCUUCUUAACAUGUAAGAGACAGCUGUAUAAAACAAUCAUCCUGCUAAAAUUAAAUUGGUUUUAAUUUGAUUA